UUUUAUCAAGGUUAAUUUUCAUAAAUAUAACAAACCAACAAAAUAUUUGCGACAUAUGUAACAAAAUGAAAAACCCAUUAAACUGAUGUAUAUGAUGGUGUACAAAAAAAAGUCUAAUCUAAAUUAUCGUGUUCCAAAUAUAAACAAUAUUUUAUUAAAAAACAUUUUUUAUUGUAUACCAAAUCUAAAGAUCGUGUGCUAAAUCUAAAAGAUUGUCUACACAAAUAUAGUACGUCAAUUAAUGGUGUGAUAUUUUUAAUAUUUUUCAUUGUGGAAGUAUUUUUCGUUUUCGAAAUUGUUCUACUAAAUAUUUUGCCUCUUGUUAUAUUUCUUAAAAGACCUCUUUUGUUAAGGUAAAUAUAUAAAAAAAAUACAUAGGUAAAUGUUUCAAUGAGAUUGUAGAUUCUAGGAAAAUACUUAGUUGUAUUUAUUAGAGAAAAUUGACUACUAAGUCAUGAGGAUGCAAGUGUCAACAUAGUUGAGAUAUCUAAAUGCAUUUAUUGACAUCAAUGGGAAAUGUUAGUUGGGAUUCCCACCAAAUAAGGGUGUCACGAGAAUAUAUAAAGGAGGAUCAAAAUCAUCUUAUUAUGAGAUAGUUUGAGUAACAAAAUAAAUAAUAUCAUAUUAAUUAUAUUACUAUUUAAUAAGCAUAUUAUUUUUUUCUUAGUAUUUUAGGCCAAAACUUAAAGAGUUGAGGAGCAAUCGUUUAGAGGUGGAGUCUUAUGGGCUGGACCAACCAAACUUGCAGGCCCAAUUAAGUGUUAAACCAGGUCCAAAUAAAAAGUGGACCGGCCUUCUAUUCAAAUUACUCAUUCUUUCCCAUUCAAACCCAUUCAUUGCCAAUCACACUCUUUCUUUUUUCUUUUUUCUUUUUUCAUUUUUUUUAAACACUGAUUUAUUUCUUCAAACUAUUCAUCUAAAUCAUAUAAAUGGAAGUAAUUAUGUGACAUAGUAUAUGUAUAUAUAUAUGUGUGUUAAAACAACACUCAUUAUUCUCUAAUUUAUAAGUAUGCAUGCAAUUGCACAGUCGGACGAUAAUUAGUAUAUACCACAAUUUAUAUAAUAUAAUAUUACAUAUAGUUACAUGAGAAUAGAAAGAGUGGAAACAAAUCUGUUAAGAAACAAAAUAUAUGUUGUAAAAGAAUGAGAGUUUAAGAAUGAAGCAAAAUCAUGUAAAGUGUAAACCAAAUUUAUUCAAAAUCAUGUAAUGUGUAUUUUACAUUUAGAUAUAAAAUUGACUUUUUAAAUUUAGAAUUUUUCUCAAUCUUUUUAAUCUUCAAACUUUUGUAUUUUUCCGUUCAAUAAAUUUGGAUCAAUUUCCAAACAUGAACAAAUAUUUUUUAUACUAAUGGAUCUCCCAAUUUUAUUCAAAACAAGUGGUAGUUAAAAAUAUUCAAAUUGAGAUUAACAAACAAGGAUUAAUUGGCAAAAAUUUGAAGUAAGGUUAUUUGUUUAUUUUCUUUAAAUUAGGAAGAAUUGUUUUGGUUUCUUUAUAGAGAAUUACAAAAGAUUACGAAUACGGAUAAAACAAAAUCCCAAAAAUCAAAACCAUAGGCCAAAUCAUGCAUCUAAUUCAAUUGGUUUUCAUUUGAUUCUUCCAUCUUAUUCAAACUGCUAAUCAGAGGAUCCCAAAAAAAUGUAUGGUAUCAAGAACAUUGAAAUUCAUAAGAAAGGAUUUAUUCUCAUUGCAGAUGAAGCAAAAACACUGAAAUAGAUCACAAGAUCCCAGAAUUUACACACUACGACAUGAUCGUAAUUCGUAACCAAGAUAUUCACAGAAGAGGAUUCAAACACAAACUUUGUUUAAACUCUACUCUACAUUCACACAACCGCUUUUUUAGCCCUCUUCGCUGCAGGAGACUUAAUUGAUUUCGGCUGUUUCGGCUUCGCCGGGGUAGACCUUUUCGGUUUCUUUG
rnacentral:lncRNA from 1 species